UACGAGAGUGGCAAGCGUUAUCCGGAAUAACUGGGUGUAAAGCGUCUCUAGGCGGCUUUAUCAGUUCUUGGUUAAAUCUUCGGGCUCAACCCGAGGCUGCCAAGAAGACCAUAAAGCUAGAGAAUGGAAGAGGUAAGCGGAAUUGCCGGUGUAGUGGUAAAAUGCGUUAAUAUCGGCAAGAACACCAAAAGCGAAGGCAGCUUACUAGGACAUUUCUGACGCUCACAGACG
rnacentral:rRNA from 1 species